UGGGGAAUAUUGGACAAUGGGCGAAAGCCUGAUCCAGCCAUGCCGCGUGAGUGAUGAAGGCCUUCGGGUUGUAAAGCUCUUUUGGGUGGGACGAUAAUGACGGUACCACCAGAAUAAGCCCCGGCUAACUUCGUGCCAGCAGCCGCGGUAAUACGAAGGGGGCAAGCGUUGUUCGGAAUUACUGGGCGUAAAGGGCGCGUAGGCGGUCUUGCAAGUCAGAUGUGAAAGCCCAGGGCUCAACCCUGGAAUUGCAUUUGAAACUGCAAGGCUUGAGUAUAGGAGAGGUAAGUGGAAUUCCCAGUGUAGAGGUGAAAUUCGUAGAUAUUGGGAAGAACAUCAAUGGCGAAGGCAGCUUACUGGACUAUAACUGACGCUGAGGCGCGAAAGCGUGGGGAGCAAA
rnacentral:rRNA from 1 species